GGCUUCUAUUAGUGAGAACUAUGGGGGAAUUCUUAAUCUUCCUAUUGCCAAAGAAUAGGCCUUCAAAUUUGAAGAUCAUUUUCUAUAGAUUCGUCUAUUUCCAUAUCUUCAAUUCAGUGUAUUCACUUGCAUGAACUGUAAUUGGUGUCAAUCGAUAUCACCAACCCAUGCCAUCGAGGAAGAAACGAGGUCGACCCAAACAUCAGCUUCGAUCGGCUGCUUCCAUUAUCACGUCAAGCUAUGUCGUCUUCUAAGUUGGAUUUAGAGGAGUUCUCCAAACUUGGACGGCUCGAAGGAGGACUUGGGAAGCAGCAGUUGUGCUCGGCAUGAAGAGCUCAUCUCGGCACUCGUGUCAUCUGAUGACUAAAUAUUUCACUGCCCGAACCACAAGAUGGCACCAUCUCGAUUGGGUCUUCGUUGCGCGUCCACCCGAGGUGAACUCCCUCCCCACAUGGGAGAAACCAGAGUGGGCGGCGAAGAAGGCAAGACUCGCGGUGCUCGAGAUCCCCACACGACGAGGCCGGAGACAUGCGUGCACUGUCCAUGGGGAAGAGACGACAGCAGAUGCGGCGCACCAAAGCUUGUCGUCCUCCGUUCCUUUCAAAGGUGUGCACGAAUUUCGAAGCCCUCCAUCUCAUUAGCGGGUUGUCCACUAAUGUGUUGAAGAGUCAAUACAAUAUAGUUUGCUGUUCCUCUAAUCCAUUGUUUUUGCUCACACCAGAAGUAAUCUUUGGUGUCGAGGCAUCACCGAGGUUGAUGAGAACCUUCCGUGUCGUGU